GCCCCUUUCAGUUUUCUCAUCUGCAAUCACUCUGAGCCCGAUGAGUAAUUCAAAAUGGAGAGUCUGAAAAGAGGGCGACCUUUUAAUAAGCAAGUCAAACUCACUUCUUAAAGUCUUCCUUUUCUUUCAUUUGCGCUCUAAGUGUAGGAAGUUGGCUCUUACUGGGAAGUAGAAAACUGGAGCAUAUGGGAGGGACAGUGCGGGCUGUGUGGAGAUUCCCACGCCUGGGCUACACAAAACGGAAAAGAAACCCCUUUCUCAGCAGAAUCCAGUCUUUCCUUGCAUAUCUCUACGCUUUCUAUUGAACUGGGUUUUUAAGUUCGGAAAAUAAAUUCUGUGUUAUCAAAACAGAGGGCAGAGCUGUAUCUGGGUCUCCUAACAACUGAAAUCGACCAUCUUCUGCACGAAAUCUUUAAGGACCAAGUGGCUCAGCCCCACAUGGAAAGAAACGCCAGGAGGGUUCCAAUGUGCUGCCCAUCUUGUGCAUGUGUCUUCGUUAACACAGCUUAAGAAAAGCACAUCUUUAUUGGCAAUAAGCUUACUGCUUCUUAUUUCCUUUGGGAGAAAAUCUUCACUUAAUGAGAAAUGCAGUGCUAAGAAGGGAGGGCGUGGUCUCGCCAGCUCAUGGUCCUCCCAAAUUCUCAACUUCUCACAAAAUCGAGUCCCAGUCACUACUCCUUUGGCCCUGAAUGCCCGUAUUACCAGUGCACUGAUUAAAAUAUGAC
rnacentral:lncRNA from 1 species